rnacentral:tRNA from 2 species
CCCGACGUGGUGUAAUGGUAACAUACUGCGUUGUCAGCGCAAUGUCGAGGGUUCGAUUCCCUUCGUCGGGAC